GGGUGUAGCUCUGAAAAGGAGUUAUUUUCAAGGUCUCAAAAAAGGAAAGACGCACUACUUUACAAGGCUUCUAAGAUCAAAGAGUCACUGUUCCCUCUGCAGCUGGGGAGCGCGGAGGGAUCCACCAGACACGCCUAGCUUCCGGUGUUAACUGAGAGGCGGGUAAAGAAGUCUUUCAUCAAGGAAGGUUUUUAUUGUGAAGUCUGAGGCCGCCUGGUUAUCGCGCGAGAUGCCGGCGCAGAAAGCGCUCGAGCUGAUUGGUCAGGUGUGGGAGAAGAACCACUGGAUGCAGGCACCCUCUAAUUGAUCCUUGGACGUGAUGCGGCAGACAAGACAGGCACAUCCUCCCUCUGAGCACAGGCCAGAAGGAACCUCCCUGGGCCAUUUAGUCCUUGGGCCAUCUGAUGACUGGACAAAAGGCCAGCUUCCAGAGGCAGUCAGCAAUCCAGGCUGUCCUCUGAGUUACAUUGGACCUUCUGAGAUGGGGCUAAAAAUGGCCUCUAAAUCUCACACUGAUGCUACCCUGGGCUUGAGAUCCAAACUGUUCAAUUGAGCAGGCUUGUGAAAAGGCUUUUCCUACUCCAGCACAAUACACAAGAUGCUCACCCCCAUCCAAAGACCACGUGAUGUCAAAGGCCUGGUGACCCAGAAGAGGAGAAAGCAUCCACAAGCUCCAACAGGGAGAUACAAGUUCUUAUUUUAAAACUUGGCUGGGUAGGCUGGGUGGCACAGUUGGUUAGAGCGCGUGCUCUUAACAACAAGGU